rnacentral:rRNA from 1 species
UACGGGAAGCAGCAGUGGGGAAUAUUGCACAAUGGGCGCAAGCCUGAUGCAGCCAUGCCGCGUGUAUGAAGAAGGCCUUCGGGUUGUAAAGUACUUUCAGUCGUGAGGAAGGUGUUAAGGUUAAUAACCUUAGCAAUUGACGUUAGCGACAGAAGAAGCACCGGCUAACUCCGUGCCAGCAGCCGCGGUAAUACGGAGGGUGCGAGCGUUAAUCGGAAUUACUGGGCGUAAAGGGCACGCAGGCGGUUAAUUAAGUUGGAUGUGGAAUCCCCGGGCUUAACCUGGGAAUGGCAUUCAAGACUGGUUAGCUAGAGUCUUGUAGAGGGGGUAGAAUUCCAUGUGUAGCGGUGAAAUGCGUAGAGAUGUGGAGGAAUACCGGUGGCGAAGGCGGCCCCUGGGACAAAGACUGACGCUCAUGUGCGAAAGCGUGGGGAGCAAACAGGGAUUAGAUACC